rnacentral:rRNA from 1 species
GGAAUAUUGCGCAAUGCCCGCAAUGGGCGAAAGUCUGACGCAGCGACGCCGCGUGGGUGAUGAAGGUCUUCGGAUCGUAAAGCCCUUUUCUGCGUGACGCGAGAGGACGGUAGCGCAGGAAAAAGUGUCGGCUAACUACGUGCCAGCAGCCGCGGUAAAACGUAGGACGCAAGCGUUAUCCGGAAUUACUGGGCGUAAAGCGCGCGCAGGCGGAGGGGUAAGUCAGCUAUGAAAGCUCUCGGCUAAACUGGGAGAGGAUGGUUGAAACUGCCCGUCUAGAGUACAGCAGAGGAAUGUGGAAUUCCGCGUGUAGUGGUGAAAUGCGUAGAGAUGCGGAGGAACACCAGUGGCGAAGGCGGCAUUCUGGGCUGAUACUGACGCUGAGGCGCGAAAGCAUGGGUAGCGA